rnacentral:rRNA from 1 species
CUACGGGGGGCAGCAGUGGGGAAUAUUGCACAAUGGGGGAAACCCUGAUGCAGCAACGCCGCGUGGAGGAUGACGCAUUUCGGUGUGUAAACUCCUUUUAUUUAGGAAGAAAUUUGACGGUACUAAAUGAAUAAGCACCGGCUAACUCCGUGCCAGCAGCCGCGGUAAUACGGAGGGUGCAAGCGUUACUCGGAAUCACUGGGCGUAAAGGACGCGUAGGCGGUUUGAUAAGUUGGAUGUGAAAUCCUAUGGCUUAACCAUAGAACUGCAUCCAAAACUGUUAGACUAGAGUGAGGGAGAGGUGAAUGGAAUUAGUGGUGUAGGGGUAAAAUCCGUAGAGAUCACUAGGAAUACUCAUAGCGAAGGCGAUUCACUGGAACUUUACUGACGCUGAGGCGUGAAAGCAUGGGGAGCAAACAGGAUUAGAUACCCGUGUAGUC